rnacentral:rRNA from 1 species
GACGAACGCUGGCGGCGUGCUUAACACAUGCAAGUCGAACGAACAGCGAUGGAAGCUUGCUUCUAUCUAUCUUAGUCGCGAACGGGUGAGUAACGCGUAAUCAACCUGCCCUUCAGAGGGGGACAACAGUUGGAAACGACUGCUAAUACCGCAUACGUUCUAAUCUCGGCAUCGAGGAUAGAUGAAAGGUGGCCCCUACAUGUAAGCUAUCACUGAAGGAGGGUAUUGCGUCUGAUUAGCUAGUUGGUUGGGUAACGGCCCACCAAUGCGAUGGUCAGUAGCCGGUCUGAGAGGAGGGACGGCCAAAUUGGGACUGGGACAAGGCCCAGAAGCCCACGGGGAGAAGCAGUGGGGAAACUUCCGCAAUGGACGAAAGUCUGACGGAGCAACGCCGGGGGGGUGAUGAAGGCCUUCGGGUUGGAAAGCUCUGUUAAUCGGGACGAAAGGCCUUCUUGCGAAUAGUGAGAAGGAUUGACGGUACCGGAAUAGAAAGCCACGGCUAACUACGUG